rnacentral:rRNA from 1 species
CCUACGGGUGGCAGCAGUGGGGAAUAUUGGGCAAUGGGCGCAAGCCUGACCCAGCAACGCCGCGUGAAGGAAGAAGGCUUUCGGGUUGUAAACUUCUUUUGACAGGGAAGAGUAGAAGACGGUACCUGUCGAAUAAGCCACGGCUAACUACGUGCUUGCAGCCGCGGUAAUACGUAGGUGGCAAGCGUUGUCCGGAUUUACUGGGUGUAAAGGGCGUGUAGCCGGGUUGACAAGUCAGAUGUGAAAUCCUGGGGCUUAACCGCAGAGCUGAAUUUGAAUCUGUAACUCUUGAGUACUGGAGAGGAAGACGGAAUUCCUAGUGUAGCGGUGAAAUGAGUAGAGAUGAGGAGGAACACCAGAGGCGAAGGCGGUCUGCUGGACAGCAACUGACGGUGAGGCGCGAAAGCGUGGGGAGCAAACAGGAGUAGAUACCCCGGUAGUC